UGCACACCGCCUAGGGCCCAGCCCUUAA
rnacentral:piRNA from 1 species